GGUUAGACGAAGAAUUCAGGUAAAGUUUGUGUUUAUUUAGUUGACGUGAAAUUUUAUUGGUUAGGUUUAUCUCUUUUUCGAGGUGAAAUUUGUUUAAAGAGAUAAGAUUACUGUCUAAAUUUAUAGGAACUAAAAAAUUUAGAUUAAAAACCAGGAUUAGAUACCCUGUUAUUCUAAAUUAUAGUUAAAUAGGGUAGUAAAAGUUGUUCUUCAAACCCAAAGAUUUUGGCGGCAUUUUAUCCAAAUAGAGGAGCUUGUCCCGUAAUCGAUAGUCCUCGUUUUAUCUUACCCCCUUUUGUUUAGCUUGUAUACCGCCGUUGUCAGAUUACUCUCUAAGGAUGUUUUCAAGAAAAUUAGUUCUUAUGACUUCAGGUCAAGGUGCAGUUUAUAAGGGGGUGGAGAUGAGCUACAAUUUUGUCUAGAAAUACGGAAGCUAUAUUUUAAAGUUAGUGGAAGGUGGAUUUAUUAGUAAAUUAUUUUAAUUAAAAAUAGUUGAAUAAGGUAAUAAAGUGUGCACAUAUCGCCCGUCACUCUCUUCUUAAGAGGAGAUAAGUCGUAACAAAGUAGAUGUACUGGAAAGUGCAUA
rnacentral:rRNA from 1 species